GAUGAACGCUGGCGGCGUGCCUAAUACAUGCAAGUCGAGCGAACGGACUAGAAUUUUGCCUCCCUGAUGUUAGCGUCGGUCGGGUGAGUAACACGUGGAUAACCUAGCUAUAAGACUGGGAUAACUUCGGGAAACCGGAGCUAAUAUGGUAGAAUAUAUUGAACCGCAUGGCACAAAAGUGAAAGACGGUCUUGCUGACACUUAUAGAUUGAGACGCGCUGCAUUAGCUAGAUGGUAAGGUAACGGCUUACCAAGGCAACGAUGCUUAGCCGCCCUCAGAGGGUGGACGGCCACACUGGAACUGAGGCUCGGUCCACACUCCGACGGGAGGCCGCAGUCGAGAAUCUUCCGCGAUGGACGAAAGCCUGACGGAGCAACGCCGCGUGAAUCAUGAAGGUCUUCGGAUCGUAGAACGCUGUUAUUAGGGAAGAACAUAUGUGUAAGUAGCUGUGCACAUCGUGACGGUACCUAAUCAGAAAGCCACGGCUAACUACGUG
rnacentral:rRNA from 1 species